rnacentral:rRNA from 1 species
AACGAACGCUGGCGGCAUGCCUAACACAUGCAAGUCGAACGCCCCGCAAGGGGAGUGGCGAACGGGUGAGUAACGCGUGGGAACCUACCCAGCAGUUGGGGAUAACCGCGGGAAACUGCGGCUAAUACCGAAUACGUCCUAAGGGAGAAAGAUUUAUCGCUGUUGGAGGGGCCCGCGUCGGAUUAGCUAGUUGGUGAGGUAACGGCUCACCAAGGCGACGAUCCGUAGCUGGUCUGAGAGGAUGAUCAGCCACACUGGGACUUAGACACGGCCCAGACUCCUACGGGAGGCAGCAGUGGGGAAUAUUGGACAAUGGGGGCAACCCUGAUCCAGCAAUGCCGCGUGAGUGAUGAAGGCCUUAGGGUUGUAAAGCUCUUUUACCGGGGACGAUGAUGACGGUACCCGGAGAAUAAGCCCCGGCUAACUUCGUGCCAGCCGCCGCGGUAAUAC